CGUAAAGGGCGCGUAGGCUGCUCGAAAAGUCGCAUGUGAAAUCCCGGAGCUCAACUUCGGAACAGCAUGGGAAACUCUCGAGCUAGAGGAUAGGCGGAGAAAACGGAAUUCCACAAGUAGCGGUGAAAUGCGUAGAUAUGUGGAAGAACACCGGUGGCGAAGGCGGUUUUCUAGCUUAGACCUGACGCUGAGGCGCGAAAGCAAGGGGAUCAAACAGGAUUAGAUACCCUGGUAGUCCUUGCCGUAAACGAUGUGUACUUGGUGUAGCUGGACUCAACCCCAGCUGUGCCGAAGCUAACGCGAUAAGUACACCGCCUGGGGAGUACACUCGCAAGGGUGAAACCCAAAAGAAUUGACGGGGACCCGCACAAGCAGUGGAGCAUGUGGUUUAAUUCGAUGCAACGCGAAGAACCUUACCCAGACUUGACAUGCAAAAGACAGUGCUAGAAAUAGCAUCUUCCUUCGGGACUUUUGCACAGGUGCUGCAUGGCUGUCGUCAGCUCGUGCCGUGAGGUGUUUGGUUAAGUCCAGCAACGAGCGCAACCCUUAUCAUUAGUUGCCAACAUUUAAGGUGGGAACUCUAAUGAGACUGCCCGGGUUAACCGGGAGGAAGGUGAGGAUGACGUCAAGUCCGCAUGGCCCUUAUGUCUGGGGCUACACACGUGCUACAAUGGUCGGUACAGAAGGCAGCGAAGCCGCGAGGUGAAGCAAAU
rnacentral:rRNA from 1 species